AUGGGUCCAGCAAAAGGUUCUGGGACAAUCCACAAGAUCACAAUAAAAAGACACGAGGAUCGACAGCAUCAUGAGGAUCCAACUAGUUCAAGCAAUGUGAAACUUAAAAUUUCUCAGAAGAGGAAGAGGUCAGACUUAGAUCUCCACUGGAGCAAGGAUGAGCUGAUGCACUUUUAUGAAGCCUACCGGCGGCAUGGAAAGAAUUGGAAAAAAAUCAGUGCAGUAGUUGGCAGCAAAUCGGCAGACACUGUAGAAGCUCUUUACUAUGUGCAUCGGACUUUCUUAUCUCUUCCGGAGCGUGAAGGUACUGCCAGGGGAUUUAUUGCAUUGGCUGCUGGUCAUGACAAUGCUUUGGAAUCUCCAAGUCAUAGAGAAACUGAUCAGAUGGUUAGAUCAUCUGGGAAGGGACGGAGACGUGGAGAAGCUGCAUGGCAAAAAGAGAAUGCAGCACCUAACCCUCACAACGCCUUCACAAAUCAGGAAAUGAGAAUUGCUGGCUUUACAUCUUCUUUCAAGAAAAGAUACCAUGGAGAACUUGUCAGGUACAUCAGUAGACAUCCUGUUCGGAAACGUACUCCUCGUGUACCAGUUUUACUUCCUUUGGGCAUCAAUGCUACAAACAAGGCUAAUGAGGAGAUAAAUAAUGAUGGAAGCUCUCCUGAUGGAAGUUCAGGAAUCACUGAAGCAAAGGUUGUUCAGGGCCAGACUUUCUUGGAAAUCAAAGGAACUGAAGAUACUGAGAUAUCUCAGUCCCAGCAACAUUUAAAUUUGAAGAAGAGAAGAAUUCAGCAAAGCAUGGACGAAGGCCAGACCAGCAAAGUUGAGCCUGGUACCACGAUGGUGGCUGAAAAAGAAGGGCAUAACUUAUCUGAUUAUGAGAGACUUAGUCGGUUAUUUUCUCCAGAGGAGAUGAUGGUCUUAGACGUGUUGGAGAGUCUGGUGACUGUGCCCAAUGAAACGUCACAGGCCAAGAUUAAUAGUCCUUCAGGUACAUGUGGAAAGAGAAUUUCUGCAUCAUCUAACACACAGGAGGAAGGGCUUUCUCCUGUCUAUCAAUCUAAACAAACGAAGCAAGAUAGUGAUUCCAGUGCUUCAGCGGAAAGGAAAAAAAGGAGAAAGAAGUUACCAGAUGAAGAGGUGCUGGCUGAAGAACAAAUCAGUUCUGGUAAUACUUCAGUUAUACCACAAGCAUGUCAGCUUGAUACCACGGAGCAGCCCUCCUUGAAUUCUGACUUUGAGAAAGAAGCAAUAGAUAUACCUGAAUCAACUGCAAAUAUUUGUGCUGAAGUAUCCCCUGAUGCACCGAUGGAAAUUGACCCUCAAAUAAGUAUGUCAAGGAAGAGCAAAAGAAAAUCCAAAGUACAAUGCAAAAGAAACUAUGUGUUUUGCAAUGAAGGUGCCGAUAAUUUACAGGCAAAGAAAUUGCUGCAUUGCUUGUCAUCUGAAUCACUUCGUAGAUGGUGUACAUACGAGUGGUUCUACAGCGCAGUUGAUUAUCCAUGGUUUAUGAAUAAUGAAUUUGUGAACUACUUAAAUUUUGCAAAAUUGAGCCAUCUUUCAAGGCUCACUCGAUCUGAGUGGAGCACAAUCCGAAGUUCUCUCGGCAAGCCCCGUCGCUUUUCCAAUCAUUUCCUGGCAGUAGAAAAGGAAAAACUUGAGGAUUAUCGACAAAACGUUAGGAAAUACUAUGCCGAACUAAGUGAUGGUUUGCGGGAUUCUCUACCAACAGACCUAGCUCGGCCUUUUUCAGUUGGCCAGCAUGUCAUUGUUCGUCACCCGAGUACCAGAGAACUUGCUGAUGGUAAAGUGGUAAUCAUGGAGCGGGAUUGUUACAAGGUCCAGUUUGAUAGCCCUGAUCUAGGUGUUGAUAUAAUUAAGGACACUGAUUGUAUGCCUGUAAACUGGUUGGAUAAUCUGCCUGACGAUCUCAAGAAGAGGAGCUCCCUCUCAAAUAAUGCACACCGCAAACCGGAUUUUGAGCACAUUCCGGAGCUUACUUCAAAGGAGAGCUGGGGUAAUAUCAUGAAUGACAUUUCCGUACCUGAGUCGUCCAGUAGUCGACAGGCUUCAUCUUCUGUGGGCGGUGAACUGCUACCCAGCAAGAGUACCACCAUUUGUAGAUCUACACUGCCACCAUUCCACCCACUUCAGUCCGCCGCCGACAGUUUACAAUCAAGGGGUCGCUCAAACAACAACAGUGGUCAGAGUGAUGAACUGGAUUCUCAUGUUACUGCAUUUGUCCAGAAAUCGCUUAAACAAGCCAAACAGAUGGUUGGUGAAGUCAUGCAGGCAAGCUAUGGAAAUGGUAAUGAAUCUGGGGAAGAAGCAACACCAUGUAUAAGCCUGGAAUCUGAGUCUACUCUUGAUGAUGCCCAGCUUCCAUCCACCCUGAUAGAGAACUGUGUUGCUACAGUUAUUGCAAUCAAGGACCUGAGCGAGCAUCGGCACCCGCCUGCCAAGAUAGCAGGUGUGCUGGAGCGUGCUUUUUUGAUGCUGCGCCCAAGCUGUCCAGAGAACCUCGCGAUCUACAGCGAGAUAGAGAGCUACAUCGCUGUUGUCAAGAGCCAGAUACUAGCCCUUGUGCCAACAACAUCUGGCAAUGCAGCUCUGGCAAUGUAG
rnacentral:rRNA from 1 species